rnacentral:rRNA from 1 species
UGGGGAAUUUUGCACAAUGGGCGCAAGCCUGAUGCAGCGACGCCGCGUGAGGGAUGAAGGCCUUCGGGUUGUAAACCUUUUUCUCUCAUGGUCAAGCCGCAGCUUUGGGUUGUGGUGAGGGUAGUGGGUAAAGAAGCGCCGGCUAACUACGUGCCAGCAGCCGCGGUAAUACGUAGGGCGCGAGCGUUGUCCGGAAUUAUUGGGCGUAAAGGGCUUGUAGGCGGUUGGCCGCGUCUGCCGUGAAAUCCUCUGGCUUAACUGGGGGCGUGCGGUGGGUACGGGUUGACUUGAGUGCGGUAGGGGAGACUGGAAUUCCUGGUGUAGCGGUGGAAUGCGCAGAUAUCAGGAGGAACACCGGUGGCGAAGGCGGGUCUCUGGGCCGUUACUGACGCUGAGGAGCGAAAGCGUGGGGAGCGAACAGG